AUACGUAGGUGGCAAGCGUUGUCCGGAAUUAUUGGGCGUAAAGCGCGCGCGGGUGGUUCCUUAAGUCUGAUGUGAAAGCCCCCGGCUCAACCGGGGAGGGUCAUUGGAAACUGGGGAACUUGAGUGCAGAAGAGGAUAGUGGAAUUCCAAGUGUAGCGGUGAAAUGCGUAGAGAUUUGGAGGAACACCAGUGGCGAAGGCGACUGUCUGGUCUGUAACUGACACUGAGGCGCGAAAGCGUGGGGAGCAAACAGGAUUAGAUACCCUGGUAGUCCACGCCGUAAACGAUGAGUGCUAAGUGUUGGGGGGUUUCCGCCCCUCAGUGCUGCAGCUAACGCAUUAAGCACUCCGCCUGGGGAGUACGGUCGCAAGACUGAAACUCAAAGGAAUCGACGGGG
rnacentral:rRNA from 1 species